AGAGUUUGAUCCUGGCUNNNNNUGAACGCUGGCGGCAUGCCUUACACAUGCAAGUCGAACGGCAGCACGGGGGCAACCCUGGUGGCGAGUGGCGAACGGGUGAGUAAUACAUCGGAACGUGCCCUGAAGUGGGGGAUAACGUAGCGAAAGUUACGCUAAUACCGCAUAUUCUGUGAGCAGGAAAGCAGGGGAUCGCAAGACCUUGCGCUUUAGGAGCGGCCGAUGUCGGAUUAGCUAGUUGGCGGGGUAAAAGCCCACCAAGGCGACGAUCCGUAGCGGGUCUGAGAGGAUGAUCCGCCACACUGGGACUGAGACACGGCCCAGACUCCUACGGGAGGCAGCAGUGGGGAAUUUUGGACAAUGGGCGCAAGCCUGAUCCAGCCAUGCCGCGUGAGUGAAGAAGGCCUUCGGGUUGUAAAGCUCUUUCGGCGGGGAAGAAAUCGCACUUUCUAAUACAGAGUGUGGAUGACGGUACCCGAAUAAGAAGCACCGGCUAACUACGUGCCAGCCGCCGCGGUAAUUC
rnacentral:rRNA from 1 species